rnacentral:rRNA from 1 species
CUACGGGAGGCAGCAGUGGGGAAUAUUGCACAAUGGAGGAAACUCUGAUGCAGCAACGCCGCGUGGAGGAUGACACUUUUCGGAGCGUAAACUCCUUUUAUAUAGGAAGAAGAUGACGGUACUAUAUGAAUAAGCGCCGGCUAACUCCGUGCCAGCAGCCGCGGUAAUACGGAGGGCGCAAGCGUUACUCGGAAUCACUGGGCGUAAAGAGCGUGUAGGCGGAUUAAAAAGUCAGAAGUGAAAUCCUAUAGCUUAACUAUAGAACUGCUUCUGAAACUCUUAAUCUAGAAUAUGUGAGAGGUAGAUGGAAUUUCUGUUGUAGGGGUAAAAUCCGUAGAGAUCAGAAGGAAUACCGACUUCGCAUGCGCACCACUAGAUGUGUAUUGACGCUGGCCCGCGAAAGGCUGGAGAGCAUAGAGGAUUAGAUACCCUAGUAGUC